rnacentral:lncRNA from 1 species
GGGCGGGUGUCAUCCUCCUCCCUCCUCAAUCGAGUUCACCCACACCAGGGCUUGGGGAACUGGGCUUCCUGCACUCCAUACGCCCUGCAUGCCUGGGGCUCUCCCACAUGGGGCUUUCGUGAGCCAGGGAGCAAGGGCCUUCCCCCCGCUCCAGCCCAGCCAGGCUGCGCAGGCAGAAGGAAUCUCUCAACCUGCCCCUGCACGCAGGGAUUUUGUGUUCGCUGCCCUGGCUCCUCUGGAAGUAGGACUGUCCCACCCUCAGACUCCUCGGUGGCCUCCGCACCCUAACAAAUGCCAGGAGGAAGAGGACCCGCAGCACGGCGGCCUGCUGGGCGCGUGCUCAGUGGGACAGCUUGGGCCCCCUCAAGCUGAGUCACAGGGGCAAGGUGUGUUUGCACCACCCACGUCCCACCGGAGUCCACGGUGGGGCUGGAGCCCCGGGUCCCCAGGGCGGCGUGGGAAACCGAAGACCGGGCACCUCCACCUCUGAAGCUCGCGACCCCGGAGGCCUCCGCGUCAAGCACAUAUGCAAGCCAUCCAGGCACCUCCCAACCGCUCCAGGAGUCGGGGCGCUUGUCUACACACACCCCCAGACUGUUAGAUGAGCUCCUGCCAACCCCAGAGUUUCAGAAAAAGGCACAAUCUUUCCUAGAUCCGGCGCCACUGGGGAAGCUGAAGGAGGUGGAAGAGCCCGCUCCGUUGGAACCACUCCUCAGCCAGGAAGAACACCGGGCUCUGCUGGAGGAGCUUU